rnacentral:lncRNA from 1 species
GCGCCGUCCUGCAGAUGUGCGGGGACGCGCGCCCGCCGCAACGUGAGGCUCAUAGGCCACACGCAACUCUGAGCAUUGGCCAGGACCUGUAGUAGCCAACAGGACACUUAAUAACUGAUGUAUAGGUGCGCACUGUGUGUCCAGAGCUUUACGUUAACCACCUCACUGUGUCAUCUCGCUGAGGUUGUGUGGUUUACUAUUACUGCUAUUAGCGCAUUUUUAAGCGGGAAACCUGAGGCAUGAGGAGGUAAGGAGCUUUGAGGAGGGUUGCACGGGUGUUAAGUAGCGCGGUCAGCACCUGAUCCCCGUCACUCAUCAGUACGGCGGUUGGAGGGGAAUGCCUGCUGGAGGGGACCACGAACUAAACUCAAUCGCCCCCACAGGGUGUGCUCGCCGUGGUUCCUAUAAAGCUGUAAGGGAGGCUACACAGCGUGCAGCGUUGUUGCUGAGGGAUCGCACACUUCCCGUAGAUUUUGUUGCUAGUUCUGGUGCACUAACGUGGAUGGACUGCUUGCUGUCUGUAGGGCCUGCCCACGGUCAGCGCUACAGAAUUCAGGCCCGGCGUAGCUACUUCCAACCCUUCAGAUCUUCACUUCCUGUUGGAACUGUCCUCUAGACUGUAGCCUCUGCCAGAAAUAAUUCAUUUUGAAUACCCUUGUAACACCCAAUUCCUUGAUCUCCUAUCAUUCCCCUGGCAGGGUCAGUCCUCGACCUUGUCCCCCCAAAUUGCUUCGUCUCUGAAUCCAGACUCUGAAGUUCGGCUCUGCCUACCACCUUAAGUUAUCCGAUGUGGCCUUACCGUCAGCCUAGUCUUUGACUACAGGAAGACCUCUCUUCCUGAAGAAGACGCCUCUUUUCAUCCAUUCACUCUGGAAAUGAUUCAACGUCUGCCUGCUGCUGAUGCUUUACUCUCCACCAGGGGUUUUCGAAGUGUGCUUCCCCAUUCCCCCUGGGCCUAUAGCAUCAGCAUCAGGGAACUUGUCAGUAACGCACAUUCUUGGGCCCCAACCCAGAACUACUGAAUCAGAAACUUGGGGUGAGGGCCUGUCGUGGUGGCUCAUGCCUGUAAUCCCAACACUUUGGGAAGCAGAGGAGGGUGGAUCACCUGAGGUCAGGAGUUGAGGACCAGCCUGGCUAACAUGGUGAAACCCCGUCUCUACUAAAAAUAGAAAAAUUAGCCAGAUGUGGUGGCGUGUGCCCAUAAUCCUAGCUACUCGGGAGACUGAGGCAGGAGACUCGCUUGAACCCAAGAGGCGGAGGUUGCAGUGAGCCAAGAUUGCACCACUGCACUCUAGCCUGGGCGACAGAGUGAGACUCCGUCUCAAAAAAAAAAAAAGAACUCAGGGUGAGGCCCAGCCGGCUGUGGUUUUAUGAGCUUUUCAGGGGAUACUGAUGCGGGAUCAAAUUUGAGAAGCACUGGUCUAGGUCUUAGAUCCUCUUGCUUCAGUUUCGUCAUUGGAUCUCAGGAAUGUUCAGCUGCCCUCUCAAGGCAACUUCUUACUUCACUUGACCUUCCAAGACCUCUCGUUCUGUCAAACCCCAAUUUUGGAUCAACCCAGGCAUGCUUCCCUCAUGUGUUCCAAAGCUGGUCAGAGUAGUCUACACCACUAUCUGCUUCAACUUCUAGUAACGUCUAAGCCUUCAGCAGUUUUGCUUAUGAAACUGCUUCACUGAAGUUCUCCACCACCAAGUAGUCAGCUGGCAUCGGAAUUCGGCUUGUGUCAAAUGGAACUCAACAUCUUCCUCUUCAGGACAUCCCCUAUUUUCAUCCUCCCAGUGAAUGACACCACCAAGUUAAAGCCUGGAGGCUGGGUGUAGUGGUUCAUGCCUGUAAUCCCAGUAGUUUAGGAAACCGAGGUGGGCAGAUGGCUUGCGCCCAGGUGUUUGAGAGCAGCCUGGCCAACAUGGCGAAACCCUGUCUCUACAAAAAAGUACUGCCAGGCGCGGUGGCUUACGCCUGUAAUCCCAGCACUUUGGGAGGCUAAGCAGGCAGAUCACCUCAGGUCAGGAGUUCAAGACCAGGCUGGGCCAACAUGGCAAAACCCCAUCUCUACUAAAAAUACAAAAAUUAGCCUGGUGUGGUGGCAUGUGUCUAGUCCCAGCUACUCGAGAGGCUGAGGCAGGGGAACUGCUUGAACCCAGGAGGCGGGGGUUGCACUGAACCUGUUGCGCCACUGCAUUCCAGCCUGGGUGGCAGAGCAAGACUCUUAUCUCAAAAACAACCAAACACAAAACAAAAAUUAGCUGGGUCUGGUGACAUGUGCUUAUAGUCCCAGCUACUUGGGGGGCUGAGGCAGGAGGAUUGCUUGAGCCUGGGAGGUUGAGGCUGCAGCAAUGAGCUGUGUUUGUGCCACUGCACUCUAGCCUGGACAACAAAAUGAGACCUUGUC